UUUCAGUGGCACGAGGACACUCGUAUCUGCGGAUAUCUGAUAGCGAGCCUUUCUGGUCAGCUGAGCAGCAGCAGAGAGGAAAACCUUCAGACUGAAGUUUGAUUUAGAAUCCAGCUGUUCAACAGACUGCAGAGGAACUCUUACUGAGAAUGGCUGAAAGUCCAAGAAGUGGGAGCAGAGACCUGCCUCCUCAUCUGUCUGUAUUAAAGAGCAAACUCAUCAAA